CCCCGUACACAAAAAUGCACAUGCUGUGAGCUCGAUGAGUAGGGCGGGACACGUGGUAUCCUGUCUGAAUAUGGGGGGACCAUCCUCCAAGGCUAAAUACUCCUGACUGACCGAUAGUGAACCAGUACCGUGAGGGAAAGGCGAAAAGAACCCCGGCGAGGGGAGUGAAAAAGAACCUGAAACCGUGUACGUACAAGCAGUGGGAGCACGCUUAGGCGUGUGACUGCGUACCUUUUGUAUAAUGGGUCAGCGACUUAUAUUCUGUAGCAAGGUUAACCGAAUAGGGGAGCCGAAGGGAAACCGAGUCUUAACUGGGCGUUAAGUUGCAGGGUAUAGACCCGAAACCCGGUGAUCUAGCCAUGGGCAGGUUGAAGGUUGGGUAACACUAACUGGAGGACCGAACCGACUAAUGUUGAAAAAUUAGCGGAUGACUUGUGGCUGGGGGUGAAAGGCCAAUCAAACCGGGAGAUAGCUGGUUCUCCCCGAAAGCUAUUUAGGUAGCGCCUCGUGAAUUCAUCUCCGGGGGUAGAGCACUGUUUCGGCAAGGGGGUCAUCCCGA
rnacentral:rRNA from 1 species